CGCGCGCGCAAGCAAAGUUCAGAUCCCCGGUUUUCUUUUUGUUGAAGUGAAAUCCGAAAAUCCAUCCGCUCAAUGGCGCAACUGGCAGAACUAGAUGAACCGAAAUCGAAGUUGUAUAAGCAGCAGAAAAGAAAUCAUGGAUCAACCAAGUUUUUCGUAACGGUGGACUACAUUUUCCUCUUCAUCUUCUUCGCUUUCCUCACUUUCAUUCUCCUCAAAAUACUUCAUCUCCUCUGAUUGUUUCUUCCACUUUCUGCCUAUCAGGUAUUCUGAAUCAGUUGGUACGAUUAUGUAAUCUUCCUUGUUAAUGACACUUUGGAAAGGAAUUCAUCGGAACAUUGUUUUUGUUA